rnacentral:rRNA from 1 species
UACAGAGGUCCCAAGCGUUGUUCGGAUUCACUGGGCGUAAAGGGUGCGUAGGCGGUCGGGUAAGUCUGAUGUGAAAUCUCCAAGCUUAACUUGGAAAUGGCAUCGGAUACUAUUCGGCUCGAGGAAUGGAGGGGAGACUGGAAUACUUGGUGUAGCAGUGAAAUGCGUAGAUAUCAAGUGGAACACCAGUGGCGAAGGCGGGUUGCUGGGCUGAUACUGACGCUGAGGCGCGAAAGCCAGGGGAGCGAACGGG